GAGUCAUUAGCUCAGUUGGUAGAGCACCUGACUUUUAAUCAGGGUGUCGAAGGUUCGAGC
rnacentral:tRNA from 1 species